AAUGCACCUUUGAGAUGAGUUGCCAACCGCCAUUAAACCUGAAAGAAGAAGAAGAUGACGAUGACGUAAUCACGCGCGCGCUCAGCCAGCUUCGAGUCUCGUGAGGCGAGCAGUUCGCGGUACUUCACGUGUUUGCAUUAUUGUAAAACACACUUAACCGUUUAAGCAACAAAGAGACUUAAGCAAACAACACGAUCAGCUAUUGUGACCUUACAAGAUAUAGAUCUCCUCACCUCCUCCUUCACUGGAAGCUCCUCCCACUGCAGAUGUCAUCAA